CAAUAGCGUAUACUAACGUUGUUGCAGUUAAAAAGCUCGUAGUUGGAUUUCUGUGUUGGUGAGGCGGCCGGCCAUUCGUGGUUGUAGCUAGUUAUCACCGGCGCAUCUUGUCACAAGCCACGCUGGCCUUAACUGGUUGGCGUUGGGGACUGACUCGUUUACUUUGAGAAAAUUAGAGUGUUCAAAGCAGGCUAUCGCCUUGAAUAUGUUAGCAUGGAAUAAUGAUAUAGGACUUUGGUUCUAUUUUGUUUGGUUUGUUCGUAGAACCGAAGUAAUAGAUUGAUAGGGACGAGUUGGGGGUCGGAUCAGUAUUCUUGAAGCGAGAGGUGGAAAUUAC
rnacentral:rRNA from 1 species